rnacentral:lncRNA from 1 species
UUAAAAUUUAUUUAAUAAUUUUAAAGUAUCUCGAAAAUGAGCGAACUAACGUUAUAUGAUUUUUUUUGUUGCAAUAAAAUUAUAAAUUUAGAAAUUAAAUGUUAUUCGAACUUAUUAAUAUCUACGAAUCGUUUAUACGAAAUAAUUUUCUUGAAUGAGAUUCUUGAAUUCGAUACGAUUCUCGGUUUGGGAACAUACGAUAGGAUGGUUGGAUUUGUUUGGAAUAGGGGACAGAGGGGAUCCUUGGAACUGUUGCCUCUUCCAGGAUUGGAUGGUUAAUGGGCCUAUGCCCAACCCCUUUUCAGCCACCCUUAACGACAGCCAGGGGUUACCAGGGGUGUAUCCUGCUUCCCCUCCCCACUCUGGUAAGGAACAUUCCGGUUCGUUUCCUUCCUACAAAGUUAAAAAUGGAGAAAUAGGGUGUGGCGUCGUUGUACGGAUCUAAUUUGAUUUGAUAUUAUACGAACGAAAAGGAUGGAAAAGUGGAAUAAAAUAAAAAAAACAAAUAAAAUAUCGGGAAUAAUUUAUUCUCGAAUUAUUCCCAAUCUAUCAAAUUGAUAGUGUUCCAGAGAUACACAGAAUGUAAUACGAGAAAUGUAAAUUUAAUUUCCCCCCCUUCCAUCGUACGAUGUACUACUAAUUAGCACGAAAUUAGUUGAAUUGGAAAAUAAAGUAUCUCCCGUGUAUAUUUUAUAUCCCUAUCGCGAUAUAAAGGAAAGGAAAAGAAAAAAAAAAAAAAAGCAAUCUUUUAAAAUUAAUAAUCUCGAUAACCUAACCUAUAACUCUAAUUAGUCGUGUUGCGUUAAAUCCAGCCUGUAAAUAAAAUAUCCCCAAUAUGCGCGCGAGUGAGCAGUUCCAACUGCGCAACAUUCAUUUUCAACAACAAGCUUUCCACCGAGACCGACCCCACCUUUCUCGGAAUCGGCGUUAUGUUGGCUUAUCAACGGCCAACAACUUGCGAGAAGGCGGAACGACAAUUUGCGGGGGAAUUGGGGCAAGAACGCGCGAGCAGGUUGCAAUUUAAGGAAGGAGGAAGUACGCGAGGGGCGAGGGGUACGCGCGAGGCAAAUUGAUAGAGGAUAAGGACGAAAUUAUACGAUUAGCCGUGAAGCUGUUUGUUACGUCGAGGUAAGAGAUCGGUCGUCGUAUAUAUAUAUUAUAUAUGUGGAAAGAAAGGAAAGGGGAGAGAGAGAGAGAGAGGGAGAAGAGAGAAGAUAGCGGAUGCAACGAGCAAUUUGAACGUGUCGAAACGUUUCGACGUCGUUCAUUAAGACGGUACGUGUAGCAGGAGAGAGGAUGGACGGUGGUGGCGCUGUUGCGCGUCCAGGGAUCGCCGUUUACCCGAGAUUCCAUCGAUAAUCGCGGGUUGAGCGUAGAUCGGGCGGAGCCCGGAACGAAACGCGCGACCGGUCACCUCGGCGACCAGGCUCUCCAGGAAUUUGUUGCACGGUUCUUUGCGAAACCCUUCUCGAUCGGGAAUUCGGUUGGAAGUUUCAUUUCGGUUUAAACUUUGAGAAAUUUGAAACUUUUGAAGGAAGGGAAUUGAAGCAGGGAAGGAAGAGUUUGGAAAGGAUGUGAUGAAUAUUUAUUUUUGAAAUUCGAGAUUUGAAGAGAAUUGGAAGUGAAGGAGAAAGAAGUAUUUUGUGUAAAGCUUUGUGAAUAUUUUCUGACUUGAUGGUUGCAUAAUGAUUGAAUUAGAAAAGUUUGGAAAGGGUAUAUAUGAUGAUGAAUAUUUAUUUUUGAGGUUUGCAGUUUAAAGAAAAUAGAGGUGAAAGAUGAAGUAUUUUGUAUAAAGUUUUAUGAAUAUCUUCUGACUUUAUGUUAAAAUUUGGAAAGAGUAAGUAUGGUUAUGAAUAUUUAUUUUUGAGAUUUAAGAUUUGAAGUUUAAAGAAAAUUGGAAGUGAAGAAGGAAAAAGUAUUUCGUGUAAAGUAUUUGUGUUUUCUGAUUUGAUGGUUGUAUAAUGAUUGUAUUAGAGAAGUUUGGAAAGGGUAUAUAUGAUGAUGAAUAUUUAUUUUUGAGGUUUGAGAUUUAAAGAAAGUAAAGAUGAAAGAUGAAGUAUUUUAUAUAAGCUUUGUGAAUGUUUUUUGAUUUAAUGAUUCUAUAAUGAUUGUAUUAUAAAAGUUUGGAAAGGGUAUGUAUGAUAACGAAUAUUUAUUUCAUAAUGCUUAUAUUGAAAAAGUUUGGAAAAGAUAUAUAUGAUGAUGUAUAUUUAUUUUUGAGAUUUGCAGUUUAAAGAAAGUAGAGGUGAAAGAUGAAGUAUUUUGUAUAAAGUUUUAUGAAUAUCUUCUGACUUUAUGUUAAAAUUUGGAAAGAUUAUAUAAUAAUUGUAUUAAAGAAGUUUGAAAAAGGCAUACAUAAUGAUGAAUAUUUAUUUUUGAGAUUUGAGAUUUGAAGUUUAAAGAAAGUAGAAAUGAAAAAUGAAGUUUCAUAUAAGCUUUGUGAAUGUGUUAUAGAAGUUUGGAAAGAAUUUGAGAUUUGAAGUUUAAAAAGAAUUGGAAAUGAAGGAGAAAGAAGUAUUUUGUGUAAAGCAUUAUGAAUGUUUUCUAAUUUAAUAGUUGUAUAAUGAUUCUCUUAGAGAAGUUUGGAAAGGAUAUAUAUGGUGAUAAAUAUUUAUUUUUGAGAUUUGAAAUUUAAAGAAAGUAGAGGUAAAAGAUGAAGUAUUUUAUAUAAGCUUUGUGAAUGUUUUUUGAUUUAAUAAUUGUAUAAUGAUUGUAUUAUAGAAGUUUGGAAAGGAUAUAUAUGAUGAUAAAUAUUUAUUUUUGAGAUUUGAAGUUUAAAGAGAAUUGAAAAAGAAGUAUAAAGUUUUGUGAAUGUUUUGUGAUUUAAUGGUUGUAUAAUGAUUGCAUUAUAUUAAAAAAUUUAGAAAGGUGAUGUAUGGUGAUGAAUAUUUUUGAGAUUUGAAAUGCCUUUUGGCUAAUAAGUAUAAUUAUAUUGGAAAAGAUAUAUAGAAGAAAAAUAUAUGGAAGAAGUUUGGAAAGAAUAAUGAAUAUUUUUGAGAUUUGAAAUGUCUUUUGAGUUAAUAAGUAUGAUUAUAUUGGAAAAGAUAUAUAAAAGAAGAAUAUGUAGAAGAAGUUUGGAAAGGAUAAUGAAUAUUUUUAAAAUUUGAAAUGUCUUUUGACUUAAUAAAUAUGAUUGUAGUGAAAAAGUUUGAAAAGUGUAUGAAUGUUUGAGAUUUGAGAUUUGAAGUUUAAAGAAAAUAGAAAUGGAAGAUGAAAUAUUUUGUAUAAAGUUUUGUGAAUACCUUCUG